rnacentral:lncRNA from 1 species
AAAAGAACCUGGCUGAGCUGGUUGCUGGCCUUAUAACUGGUGAAAGUUCAGUGGCUGAGAUGACAGAAGCAGCUCAUUGUGUCGUUUUGAGCCAGGAGUUGGAAGCACAUGUGGAUGUUGUCGAAAGUGAGUGUGAUCAUGUCCUCAGUGAGAAGAUCACGUCCAAAGCGGAAGGAGAGGACGUGAAUGACGUUGAGCAGGAGAACACUGUAGAGGAGCUUGAUAAAAUGCAGUGUUCAAUGGAGAACUUGAAGAGCAGUGGCUCGUCAUCUUUCACUGAGAUCACACUGACAGAGGUCAAAGAGGAGGAUGUUAUGUUCAGAUCAACCACUCCACAGUCUGACUCUUCUGACAUGGAGAAGGAAGACUUUGAGAUCAUUCAAUCCAGUCAGGCGACAAACAGACAGUUUGACUUCUUCCAUCCAAACCCCUUCACUGAUGGUGAUGUAUUUGGAGAUGACCAUUUUCCAAAGGUUGAUGUGACAGAGCAAUUACCCAGGGACCCGUUUAAAGGCACAGACCCUUUUGCCUCUGACGCUCUCUUGGUUAACAUGUCAGAAGAAAAGCAUUGUCAGGAUGACUUCAUCCCUGCAGAGAACAGUCUUCCAGAAACUGUACACUACCCUCUCCAAUCCGUCGUUAAAGACUACGGUACCUUUAACGCUCCCAUCAACAGGCCACAGUCCACCGGAAAGCGUGAUAGUGGUGUGUCCAUGUCCACUGAAAGCAGGAGUCUCAAAUCUGGCAGCGAUGUAGAUUCUGAGUGUGGGACAAACGCCACACCAGGCCAAAAUGGUGAUGCUGUGAAACCAGAUCUAUCAAACGAAGCUUUGAGUCCUCAGUUCGAUGAAGAGUGGGUCCAUGAAUCAGAUUCUAGUCACAGUUCUACAGUGUUUAAUUCCAUUGAUGCCGAUUCCAAUGUAUUCGCUGAAGAGGAGGAGGAGAGGGUUGACGUUCAGACUGGAUCCGGUUUAAUUAAAAGAGCUAACUCACUGUGUGGUCUACAGAGCAUCAUUGCAGGGUCUUAUACUGGGUUUCCUCUAAGUCCAUGUGACCCUGAUCCACUCCCAGGCGACUUCCAGAAGACCUUUGAACAUCAUAUUACCACUUCUAAACAAAAUGCUGCGAAUGCCGAAGAACUCGGAAAUACUGAGAGUUUAUCUCCAGAUAACAGUCUAGGGCCUCUGUGUGAACAGCUGCAUGAUAUAAAUAGUAAUCCCUCUAGCUCUCCUUCCAUUUUUCCUUCUCAACCUUCUGCUUUAGACGAAUGCGACUACAAAUAUGGAGAUAUGUUCUUCUUCACUGUGAGAUUAGAUCCUGGUAGCCCUGAACUACAUAAUCAAAGUCCGGCUUGUCCUGAGCCCAAAGAUGAGUCCCACGGCCAAAUGCAUUGGAAGGACGCCUCUUUGAGCCCUGAAUUCAAUGAUAAAGAUGAAUUUGAAUGUUCCAGUCCAAAGCCUGAAGACAUAGAACAACACAACCAGAUCACCAAUGACCAGAACACAGUGGAGCUGGAGAUCGUGACAAGCAGUGACCCUCCUAAACAUGAUGAGAUAUUAGUGCCUGAUUGUGAAAAGGAGGUUUUAGAUAUUCCAAGUCUUACAUUUGAGGAUUCAAAUGCUUGCCAAAGUGUGCUUGAUUCAGAGUGGAAUGACCAAUGGACGGCAAAUCCAGAUGUAGUUGAACCUGUUCCUGAUUCAUCCAUCCUGGACACAGAAAGUAAUCCAUCUAAUUCUACAUCUCAAGACCUCUUUUGUCUGUUCAGUAACACAGAAACAUCAGCUACUGACCGGUUUUAUGCCCAUGAGCAACUCAGCCCUGAAUCCAGUAGCUCACAACACAAACCUUCAUCCUCUGAAGGCUUGUUCAUGAGUAAACUUGAACUCCAGUAUUUUGAC